GCCUCGCUGUUAACUCCCCGCCAGCCCGCUGGGGCACACCGGCCGCCGCGGUCCUGCACUGCGGCUCUCCUGCCCGCUCGCCACGAGCCUGCAGCUGGUUUGCCCUCCAGGGCCUCUGUCCCCGUGCCGGCAGAAGGGUUUCAAGCGCGGAGGUCCAUCCAGGCAACAGAUCCUCCCACAGGGAAAUGGUAUCUGCGGAGGAUUUGUUUCUGCUUUUCCUGAUCCACUAUGACCUAUAGCUACCAUCGAACUCAAAGUUCGCUAUGACCCUAUGGGAAAUGACAACAAACACUGUUUGGACGGAAGGAGGUACAUAUAGUAGGCUCAGGAAAAACCGCUGAGGGGCAGCACGUUUUCACAUGGAAAAUAUUACUGUCUCAUGUGUAAGGAAAUCUUGAGCUAUUUACAACUUUACUGGACACAGAAGCUCCGAGGUGAAGUUGAUCAAAAUAUAUGGGAAGUCCAUCUUCCAAUUCCUAAAGUUGGGAUGUAAUUGAUUGCUGCCUGUCUCAGGAGUUGUGUAUAUACAGAGAUAUACAUCAUUGAUGAAAUGUAGUAUCAUAAUUCCAUGAAAUUGUAUGUAGUGGAGGUUGAUGUCUCAUAUAAAACUUAAUGCCAGAUACCAUCUCUCUCAAUAAAGUGGAACAUAAAGAAAAGGUAAUGAAUUUUUGUAAUAAAGCAAGAUGCUGAAAUAAUAUAUUUUAUGAUAAUACUCUGCCCAUCCCAUUCAAUGGUGUCUAUACUUAAAAUAAUUUAACACAUUGCAGAAUGAAAUGAGAUCAGUUUAUAUUCAAUAUUUUAUAAAGUCAAUGGAGUAGAACAAAACAGAUACAUGAAUACGCUUCUUUCAAUGCUUAGGUUAAAAAAUGUCACUGAACCUGCCACUGCAUCUGCGUAUAGAGUUGAAAAAGAAAGCAUGAGCUACAAACUGCUUUAGGAAAAAACUUGUGGUACAUGGAGAUUUCAGAUUUGAUAGGAUUCCUAGAAAACUUUCUUUCAAAAGAACAGGGAAAAACUGGGUUUUCUGUGAUUUUGUACCUUACUCCAAAAUUUCCUUCAUUACAAAAAACCCCUCCUUGCUUUCCUGCAGUUUACAGGUAAAUCAGGCCAACACCUGACCACUAAACAGCAGGGUUUUAGGCCCUUUUUUGCAUGGGGUUCUGGAAAGCUUUGGAGCUGAUUAAAAAUGUAGCCAUCUUCUCACAUGCAGCAGAGAGAGCUUGUAGUUUCUGAAGUUUAUGGUUUGUUCAGAUCCCUCUGACAUUCAGCCUCGUCAGUAAAGGUUUAUUCUUUGUAUAGCAAAGACUUUGGAUUUUCUCUCCUGGAUCUGAACUUCCAAGGUUCAGAUCACUUCAAUUCUGCUUCCAGGUAAAAAAAAAAACAUAGAGGUAGGAAGCUCUGGGAAGAGAUCUGAUGGAGGUGAUCUCUGGGUUUAUGAUGAAUCACAGACUCGGGGGCCACAAGGAAAGAAUGAAUGAACAGGGUCUGUGCAAUUGAGAGAGAAGCAAGGAAUGUAUAUAAAUCUUCAAAUGUAUAAAAGACUUCAGCAAAGACAAAGGGAAUAAAUUCUUCCCGUCUGUAAUAAGCUGGAAAGAAAUAAUGGAUUUAAAUUCCAUCAAGGAAUAUUCAAAUUAGGAAAAAUUUGUUAAGAAGAGUGAAGCAACCAGCCAGCCUGGGGUUGGCACAGAAGCUCCAUCAUUAGAUGUGUUUCCAAACAGGUUAAACAAAUGUCUUCUCCUGUGAAUAGCUGAUCCUGCCUUAGGGUACUAAAUACAGGAGUUGACCUUCUAAAGCCCCUUUCGCUUCCUAUCUAAUUUUCAGACAGGCUUUCUAAGGAAACAAAUUUCCUAGGAUUGUGCUGCCAGCCUGCCUUAUUUCCUUAACAAGUCAUGUAAUAAACCAUUAGAAAGCUUUAAGAAAUCUAACAGUUCCCUUACCCCUCACUAAGACGUUACACAGAAAGAAAUGGGAAAUAAAGCUUUGUUGGCUUUGCUGCUCGUUGUUUUUUUGUUUGUUUGUUUUUCUGAGGGGGGUGCAUGUUGGGGGUUUUUUUGAUCGUUUGGGGUUCUGUAGUGAUCAAUAAAGCACCCUGUCAACUUGUUUUCAUCUCAUUGUCAAUUCCUUUCUAAGCCCAGCCU